ACGGGACAGUGCUGAAGACUA
rnacentral:miRNA from 1 species